CCUACGGGAGGCAGCAGUGGGGAAUUUUGGACAAUGGGCGCAAGCCUGAUCCAGCAAUGCCGCGUGAGUGAAGAAGGCCUUCGGGUUGUAAAGCUCUUUUGUCAGGGAAGAGACGGUGGGGGCUAAUAUCCCCUGCUAAUGACGGUACCUGAAGAAUAAGCACCGGCUAACUACGUGCCAGCAGCCGCGGUAAUACGUAGGGUGCAAGCGUUAAUCGGAAUUACUGGGCGUAAAGCGUGCGCAGGCGGUUUUGUAAGUUUGUCGUGAAAUCCCCGGGCUCAACCUGGGAAUGGCGAUGAAGACUGCAAGGCUAGAAUCUGGCAGAGGGGGGUAGAAGUUCCACGUGUAGCAGUGAAAUGCGUAGAGAUGUGGAGGAACACCGAUGGCGAAGGCAGCCCCCUGGGUCAAGAUUGACGCUCAUGCACGAAAGCGUGGGGAGCAAACAGGAUUAGAUACCCUGGUAGUCCACGCCCUAAACGAUGUCUACUAGUUGUCGGGUUUUAAUUAACUUGGUAACGCAGCUAACGCGUGAAGUAGACCGCCUGGGGAGGUACGGUCGCGAAGAGUAACGUUACAAUAGUUAGUUAGUAGCGUUGNGAGNGCGACGGACGACGACGAGGGAGGAGG
rnacentral:rRNA from 1 species